ACUCCAGUAAGAGUAAGUGAAGUAGGGGUUUUUGCAAAAAGACAAAGUAUUAGAAUUGGUUCCAAAAAAUAGCCUAUCCCUUUGGUAGUUGGACAAUCAUGGACUACACGACCUCCUAUAAUAUUUCCUGGGCGAUAUAUGAACGAAGUACCUGUGUAAGAAAUUUCUAUGACACUGCCAUUGGUCAACUUCUCCAACAGCCUUAAAAACGAAACCUGGUAAUCUUUGACACCAGGAUCGGCUUCAUCUGGGUAAAUUCCUUCAACUCGAAUCGGAGUUCCCGAGAGAGUUGCAAGGACUAACCGAUGCGUCAAAUACUCACAUCCUUUAAAGCGUUUGAGCUGACCGGUUGACAUCACGAGUUUAACAAUUCAAAAUGAAUGCAAAGCCCCGAAUUAUUUUAAAAACGCGUUUUUCGAGACUUUGAUAUUUCAAUUCCUUUACAGGAAAUUUUUAGUUUUGGUAAAAGAAUUUCUACAGCGCAAGAGGUAGAAUUGACCUC